rnacentral:rRNA from 1 species
CGUAGGGUGCAAGCGUUAAUCGGAAUUACUGGGCGUAAAGCGUGCGCAGGCGGUUUCGUAAGUCUGUCGUGAAAUCCCCGGGCUCAACCUGGGAAUGGCGAUGGAGACUGCGAGGCUAGAGUUUGGCAGAGGGGGUAGAAUUCCACGUGUAGCAGUGAAAUGCGUAGAGAUGUGGAGGAACACCGAUGGCGAAGGCAGCCCCCUGGGUCAAAACUGACGCUCAUGCACGAAAGCGUGGGGAGCAAACAGGAUUAGAUACCCUGGUAGUCCACGCCCUAAACGAUGUCUACUAGUUGUCGGUUUUAAUUAACUUGGUAACGCAGCUAACGCGUGAAGUAGACCGCCUGGGGAGUACGGUCGCAAGAUUA